AUUGAACGCUGGCGGCAGGCCUAACACAUGCAAGUCGAACGAGUGGCGGACGGGUGAGUAAUGUCUGGGAAACUGCCUGAUGGAGGGGGAUAACUACUGGAAACGGUAGCUAAUACCGCAUACCAUCGGAUGUGCCCAGAUGGGAUUAGCUAGUAGGUGGGGUAACGGCUCACCUAGGCGACGAUCCCUAGCUGGUCUGAGAGGAUGACCAACCACACUGGAACUUAGACACGGGCCAAAACUCUACGUGAGGGAGCAGUGGGGAAUAUUGCAAAAUGGGCGGAAGCCUGAAGCAGCCCAGCCGUGGUUAUGGAGAAGGCCUUCGGGUUUUAAAGUACUUUCAGCGGGGAGGCGUUACCCGCAGAAGAAGCACCGGCUAACUCCGUGCCAGCAGCCGCGGUAAUAC
rnacentral:rRNA from 1 species